GAGCGCAGUACGUGAGGAGAGGCGGCUUCGUCAGGAUCUUUCCAAGUCAGAACUCUUGGCAGAAGUAUUCUCAGUACUUGGACCCAGUGACGGGCAUCCCGGUGUGCUCGACAUCCCUCAACAACAACAUCCCGUACCAGGUGGUCCAGCACAACUACAACCUCCUGGUGCACUCGCACGUGCUCCCACACUUCCAGCACGCCACCGUCGCCACCAGCCUCACCGACACCCCGCAGAGGUGAGCACGCUGUGACGUCACCGAGUGCUGCGGCACAACUACAACCUGCUGGUGCACUCGCACGUGCUCCCACACUUCCAGCACGCCACCGUCGCCACCAGCCUCACCGACACCCCGCAGAGGUGAGCACGCUGUGACGUCACCGAGUGCUGCGGCACAACUACAACCUGCUGGUGCACUCGCACGUGCUCCCACACUUCCAGCACGCCACCGUCGCCACCAGCCUCACCGACACCCCGCAGAGGUGAGCACGCUGUGACGUCACCGAGUGCUGCGGCACAACUACAACCUGCUGGUGCACUCGCACGUGCUCCCACACUUCCAGCACGCCACCGUCGCCACCAGCCUCACCGACACCCCGCAGAGGUGAGCACGCUGUGACGUCACCGAGUGCUGCGGCACAACUACAACCUGCUGGUGCACUCGCACGUGCUCCCACACUUCCAGCACGCCACCGUCGCCACCAGCCUCACCGACACCCCGCAGAGGUGAGCACGCUGUGACGUCACCGAGUGCUGCGGCACAACUACAACCUGCUGGUGCACUCGCACGUGCUCCCACACUUCCAGCACGCCACCGUCGCCACCAGCCUCACCGACACCCCGCAGAGGUGAGCACGCUGUGACGUCACCGAGUGCUGCGGCACAACUACAACCUGCUGGUGCACUCGCACGUGCUCCCACACUUCCAGCACGCCACCGUCGCCACCAGCCUCACCGACACCCCGCAGAGGUGAGCACGCUGUGACGUCACCGAGUGCUGCGGCACAACUACAACCUGCUGGUGCACUCGCACGUGCUCCCACACUUCCAGCACGCCACCGUCGCCACCAGCCUCACCGACACCCCGCAGAGGUGAGCACGCUGUGACGUCACCGAGUGCUGCGGCACAACUACAACCUGCUGGUGCACUCGCACGUGCUCCCACACUUCCAGCACGCCACCGUCGCCACCAGCCUCACCGACACCCCGCAGAGGUGAGCACGCUGUGACGUCACCGAGUGCUGCGGCACAACUACAACCUGCUGGUGCACUCGCACGUGCUCCCACACUUCCAGCACGCCACCGUCGCCACCAGCCUCACCGACACCCCGCAGAGGUGAGCACGCUGUGACGUCACCGAGUGCUGCGGCACAACUACAACCUGCUGGUGCACUCGCACGUGCUCCCACACUUCCAGCACGCCACCGUCGCCACCAGCCUCACCGACACCCCGCAGAGGUGAGCACGCUGUGACGUCACCGAGUGCUGCGGCACAACUACAACCUGCUGGUGCACUCGCACGUGCUCCCACACUUCCAGCACGCCACCGUCGCCACCAGCCUCACCGACACCCCGCAGAGACUAAAGCGCUACGAGGCAGUGAGCAUCACAUCAACGGCGCCUGCCAUCUCUCUCGGAGAACCAGCGGCCCAACCACAGCACGACACGCGCCGCGCCAAGGAGCUUGUUAAAGCACAGCUCAGUGACGGCAUGCGGC